GAUGAAGAACGUAGCGAAAUGCGAUAAGUAAUGUGAAUUGCAGAAUUCAGUGAAUCAUCGAAUCUUCGAACGCACCUUGCACCCUUUGGACUGCUCCAAAGGGUAUGCUCGUUUGAGUGUCAUUGUACUCUCACACUCUCUGAUCCUUUGGAUUUGGGGAGCGGUGGACUUGGGUGCUUGCUGCUUCCUUGUGGCUCACCUGAAAUGCAUCAGUGCAUCUCUCGAUUGGACAUAGCACGGCGUGAUAAGUGUCUUCGCCGGCACCUCAUAUGAGGGUGGCCGAUCGGGAGCUCUGUGCUUUCAAACCGUCUUCGGACAACGCUGACAACUUGACCUCAAAUCGAGUAGGACUACCCGCUGAACUUAAGCAUAUCAAUAAGCGGAGA
rnacentral:misc_RNA from 1 species